rnacentral:rRNA from 1 species
AGGACGAACGCUGGCGGCGUGCUUAACACAUGCAAGUCGAGCGGUAAGGCCUUUCGGGGUACACGAGCGGCGAACGGGUGAGUAACACGUGGGUGAUCUGCCCUGCACUCUGGGAUAAGCCUGGGAAACUGGGUCUAAUACCGGAUAUGACCUGCUCUCGCAUGGGGGGUGGGCGGAAAGAUUUAUCGGUGCAGGAUGGGCCCGCGGCCUAUCAGCUUGUUGGUGGGGUAAUGGCCUACCAAGGCGACGACGGGUAGCCGACCUGAGAGGGUGACCGGCCACACUGGGACUGAGACACGGCCCAGACUCCUACGGGAGGCAGCAGUGGGAAUAUGCACAAUGGGCGAAAGCCUGAUGCAGCGACGCCGCGUGAGGAUGAAGGCCUUGGGUUGUAAACCUCUUUCAGCAGGACGAAGCGCAAGUGACGUACCUGCAGAAGAAGCACCGGCAACUACGUGCCAGCAGCCGC